UUACUAUAGCAUGGUUGUCCAUAACGCUAGAAUGAUGUCUGGGAUACUUUUCCUCGCGUCGAUGAAAAAGGAUUGUCUAUUCUACGUUGUAACAUAAAUCUGCUAUGACGGAUCACAGGCAAAGGGCACUGUAAAUUGUAGUUAUUUUUCAUUGCUUUUGCUUUAUAGCCUAAAUGUAUCCUAAUCUGAUAAUGCUAAGGUAGCCAAUUCCAAGGGUAACGUUCACAUCCUGAGGCCUGUCCUGUAGUCUUAUUAAUUGUAGACGUAGCCUACUAAUUACUAAAUUGAAAGUUUUUCACCAUAUGAGUGUAGCCUACACCUCAGAAUGGGGGAAGGGUAGACUAGCCUAGUCCAUUACACUUGUGAAUGGAGCAAGGUAGACCAGCCAGCCCAUUGAGACUGAUCAUUGAGGGUCUAAGUCAUUAUCAUGCAGAACAAUAAAAUACAGACAAAACUGCUUUGAUUGAACUUUAGUCAAUGCAUCUACCAAAAUACAUCUUUCCUCACGGUCAUAAAAUGAAUGUACUUUGUUUGUGGUUAAAGUGAGACAUUCUAACAUGUACUGCUCUUUUUUGUCCAGCUAUGAGAGAGAACUGAGAGCAGUCACAUCAACACCAAUGAAGGGAAAGCCCUCUAGUAUUAACUACUCCAGAAGUGUCCAGCAUUUCUAGUGGGACAGACAGAUGAGCAUCUUGGCGCAAUUGCAGAAGCCCCUGAAAUUAAGAACCUUGAACAGAGGAUCAGCUUUCCAGGAGACUGCAAAUUUAGAAUGAUGGCCCAUGUUGCUUCAAAGGCACCAUACAAAAAGGAAGGGUUCAUGUGUAAAUACCAUA